AAAAAGUCACGAGUUUGCUUUACUCUUUCAAAAUGGUGGUAAUGGAAAUCAGACACAAAAGAAGAAAUUACGUGAUCGCUCAAAAAAAAUAAUGGACGCAAUGGAUCUUUUUAAAAGAGGUGAAAUAGAUAUACAGGGAUUUCUGACAUGCACUGUUUCCUUAGCUGACCGCUUUUCAAAGCAGGACUUCUUUGAAAUCUUCCACAUCGUCACUUUCAUCGAAUGCUUCUCAUUCAAGUCAGUCAUCUGAUAAAUCAUUGGUUCAAAUGAAUCCAUGCAAUGUGUGCCUAUGUAACCCAAAGUCUGUGUUGUUGCGCCCGUGCAAUCACGUAAACAUUUGUGGUACAUGUUGGGAUCAAAUUGUGGCC